rnacentral:rRNA from 1 species
UACGAAGGGGGCUAGCGUUGCUCGGAAUCACUGGGCGUAAAGCGCACGUAGGCGGACUCUUAAGUCGGUGGUGAAAUCCUGGAGCUCAACUCCAGAACUGCCUUCGAUACUGGGAGUCUCGAGUCCGAGAGAGGUGAGUGGAACUGCGAGUGUAGAGGUGAAGUUCGUAGAUAUUCGCAAGAACACCAGUGGCGAAGGCGGCUCACUGGCUCGGUACUGACGCUGAGGUGCGAAAGCGUGGGGAGCAAACAGG